rnacentral:rRNA from 1 species
CGGGGAAUAUUGCACAAUGGGCGGAAGCCUGAUGCAGCGACGCCGCGUGGGGGAUGAAGGCCUUCGGGUUGUAAACUCCUUUCGACAGGGACGAAGCUUUUGUGACGGUACCUGUAUAAGAAGCACCGGCUAACUACGUGCCAGCAGCCGCGGUAAUACGUAGGGUGCGAGCGUUGUCCGGAAUUACUGGGCGUAAAGAGCUCGUAGGUGGUUUGUCGCGUCGUCUGUGAAAUUCCGGGGCUUAACUCCGGGCGUGCAGGCGAUACGGGCUGACUUGAGUGCUGUAGGGGAGACUGGAAUUCCUGGUGUAGCGGUGAAAUGCGCAGAUAUCAGGAGGAACACCGAUGGCGAAGGCAGGUCUCUGGGCAGUAACUGACGCUGAGGAGCGAAAGCAUGGGUAGCGAACAGG